rnacentral:misc_RNA from 1 species
AACGCACAUGGCGCCCCCCGGCAUCCCGGGGGGCAUGCCUGUCCGAGCGUCGUAUCAACCCUCGGGCCCCCGUGGCCCGGCGUUGGGGAUCUGCCACGGCAGGCCCCGAAAUCCAGCGGCGGACCCGCCGGGACGCCCCCUGUCGUAGUAGCAUAAGCCUCGCAGCGGGACCCCGACGGGCUAUCCGGCCCCUAAACCCCCCUCCAAGACCGCCCCCGGCGGCACCAAGGUUGACCUCGGAUCAGGUAGGAAUACCCGCUGAACUUAA